ACGGGAGGCAGCAGUGGGGAAUAUUGGGCAAUGGGCGAAAGCCUGACCCAGCAACGCCGCGUGAAGGAAGAAGGCUCUCGGGUUGUAAACUUCUUUUAUCGGGGACGAAACAAAUGACGGUACCUGAAGAAUAAGCCACGGCUAACUACGUGCCAGCAGCCGCGGUAAUACGUAGGUGGCAAGCGUUGUCCGGAUUUACUGGGUGCAAAGGGCGCGUAGGCGGGAUGACAAGUCAGGUGUGAAAUCUAUGGGCUUAACCCAUAAACUGCACUUGAAACUGCCAUUCUUGAGUGUCGGAGAGGUAGAUGGAAUUCCUAGUGUAGCGGUGAAAUGCGUAGAUAUUAGGAGGAACACCAGUGGCGAAGGCGAUCUACUGGACAGUAACUGACGCUGAGGCGCGAAAGCGUGGGGAGCAAACAGGAUUAGAUACCCUGGUA
rnacentral:rRNA from 1 species